UUGUAGCCCGGAUUGCAGCGUAAAUCCUUUUUUGUGGCUGAGGCCUCCGAAGCCACUAAAAAGAUGCAGCGGAAAGCCGGUGGAGUG
rnacentral:sRNA from 1 species